UACGAAGGGGGCUAGCGUUGUUCGGAAUUACUGGGCGUAAAGCGCGCGCAGGCGGCUAUCCAAGUCAGUGGUGAAAGCCCGGAGCUCAACUCCGGAACUGCCAUUGAAACUGUUUAGCUUGAGGACGAGAGGAGGUGAGUGGAAUUCCCAGUGUAGAGGUGAAAUUCGUAGAUAUUCGCAAGAACACCAGUGGCGAAGGCGGCUCACUGGCCCGAUACUGACGCUGAGGCACGAAAGCGUGGGGAGCAAACAGG
rnacentral:rRNA from 1 species